AUGAACGCUGGCGGCGUGCCUAAUACAUGCAAGUCGAGCGAACAGACGAGGAGCUUGCUCCUCUGACGUUAGCGGCGGACGGGUGAGUAACACGUGGAUAACCUACCUAUAAGACUGGGAUAACUUCGGGAAACCGGAGCUAAUACCGGAUAUUAUAUUGAACCGCAUGGUUCAAUAGUGAAAGACGGUUUUGCUGUCACUUAUAGAUGGAUCCGCGCCGCAUUAGCUAGUUGGUAAGGUAACGGCUUACCAAGGCAACGAUGCGUAGCCGACCUGGGAGGGUGAUCGGCCACACUGGAACUGGAACACGGUCCAGACUCCUACGGGAGGCGGCAGUAGGGAAUCUUCGGCAAUGGGCGAAAGCCUGACGGAGCAACGCCGCGUGAGUGAUGAAGGUUUUCGGAUCGUAAAACUCUGUUAUUAGGGAGGAACAAAUGUGUAAGUAAAUAUGCACGUCUUGACGGUACCUAAUCAGAAAGCCACGGCUAACUACGUG
rnacentral:rRNA from 1 species